GGAUCUGGUGCUAUGCGAGGCCCGGAUGUACGGACCCUCUACUUCACACGCACGCCAAGAAAUGCAGGAAGGUAGGAUGAUGUCUGUAUAGUGCAAAAACCCUUUUGCAAAUAAACCCCUGGAAGAAAAGAAUUUCAAAAAUUCUUUCUUCCCUUUUUUUUUUCUUUCUUCCCGUUUCCUUUUCUCUCUUUUACAGGCUACUCAAAAGAUCAUGAAUCUCCCCUCUCCCCAGAUAAAAUCUCUAGCUCAGAAUGAAGAGAAAGCUAGCCUAUUUAUAGGCAAAGACAAGGCUGAACCAGGGAAGAGAAAACGCCAAAAGGGAAGAGUGAACGCCAAACGUUUCAUGAUUUUAUUGAAUUUUUUUGAACCGUUUGAUUUCAAUUAAAUCAGUCCUAUAUUAAAGAGGUUUCAAAACCGAAGAGACACGUCUCUUCGGAUCUUCAAAUGGUUGCAGGAUGAGGAAGAUCAAGCGGUCAAUUUAUGUGUUCGGAAGAAGGGAAAAAACGUGGUUCACGGGAGAAUGUUUCAGCAGAAAAAGUGGUUCACAGGCUUAUGUGGACCGAAGAAGAAACACAGAAACAAGUCAAUUAAUUCAGGAGGGCAUCUAAGUAAAUUCCCAAUUCAAAUUGACUUUUCUUAAAUGGGUU
rnacentral:lncRNA from 1 species